UUUAUGGAGAGUUUGAUCCUGGCUCAGGAUGAACGCUGGCGGCGUGCCUAAUACAUGCAAGUCGAGCGAACAGACGAGGAGCUUGCUCCUCUGACGUUAGCGGCGGACGGGUGAGUAACACGUGGAUAACCUACCUAUAAGACUGGGAUAACUUCGGGAAACCGGAGCUAAUACCGGAUAAUAUAUUGAACCGCAUGGUUCAAUAGUGAAAGACGGUUUUGCUGUCACUUAUAGAUGGAUCCGCGCCGCAUUAGCUAGUUGGUAAGGUAACGGCUUACCAAGGCAACGAUGCGUAGCCGACCUGAGAGGGUGAUCGGCCACACUGGAACUGAGACACGGUCCAGACUCCUACGGGAGGCAGCA
rnacentral:rRNA from 1 species